rnacentral:rRNA from 1 species
AUACAGAGGGUGCAAGCGUUAAUCGGAUUUACUGGGCGUAAAGCGCGCGUAGGCGGCUAAUUAAGUCAAAUGUGAAAUCCCCGAGCUUAACUUGGGAAUUGCAUUCGAUACUGGUUAGCUAGAGUGUGGGAGAGGAUGGUAGAAUUCCAGGUGUAGCGGUGAAAUGCGUAGAGAUCUGGAGGAAUACCGAUGGCGAAGGCAGCCAUCUGGCCUAACACUGACGCUGAGGUGCGAAAGCAUGGGGAGCAAACAGGAUUAGAUACCCCGGUAGUCC